rnacentral:rRNA from 1 species
ACCGGAUCGGCGGUGAAAGUCGUCUUCUCUUCGGAGCCGGUGCACAGGUGCUGCAUGGCUGUCGUCAGCUCGUGUCGUGAGAUGUUGGGUUAAGUCCCGCAACGAGCGCAACCCUCGCCCUCUGUUGCCAUCGGGUAAUGCCGGGCACUCUGAGGGGACUGCCCCGGUGAACGGGGAGGAAGGUGGGGAUGACGUCAAGUCCUCAUGGCCUUUAUGCCCAGGGCUACACACGUGCUACAAUGGCCAGGACAAAGGGCUGCUACCUCGCAAGGGGACGCAAAUCCCAAAAACCUGGUCUCAGUUCGGAUGGUCGGCUGCAACUCGCCGGCCUGAAGCUGGAAUCGCUAGUAAUCGGAGAUCAGCACGCUCCGGUGAAUACGUUCCCGGGCCUUGUACACACCGCCCGUCACACCACGAAAGCUGCGUGUACCAGAAGUCGCUGGGCCAACCCCGUUAGGGGAGGUAGGUGCCGAAGGUGUGCGUGGUAAUUGGGGUGAAGUCGUAACAAGGUAACC